AUGGCCUGGGCCCUGUUUCUAUUCAUGCUCCUCAGCUAUUGCUCAGGAAUCUCUUCACAGCCAACCCUGAUUCAGCCUCCCUCACAGUCCGGUUCUCUUGGACAAACGGUGAAACUCUCCUGCACUAUCAGCAGUAACAAAAAUCCCUUUGGCUGGGUUCAACAGACAUCUGGUCAAGCUCCUCGAUUUCUCUUCUACAGCAACAGCAGGGGAACUGGGGUCCCCGAUCGGUUCAGCGUUUCUGAAUCGGGCAACACUGGCUAUUUAACCAUUGCCAAUCUCCAGGCUGAAGACGAGGCUGAUUAUUACUGUUACAUGUGGCCCAGCGGGGGUAGCCAGCUCCACGGUGUGACCCAGCCACCCUCAGAGUCUGUGGUUCUUGGAAAGACAGUGAGACUCUCUGCCCGUAUGAGCAGUGGGUAUGAGAGCUAUGUUGUGGAGUGGUAUCAACAGAUUGAUGGGCAGGCGCCUCGGCUUCUGCUGUACGGUAACAGCAACAGAGCCAGCGGGAUCCCAGAUCGAUUCUCUGGUUCCAUAUCAGGCAGCGAUCGCUAUUUGACCAUCACUGGGGUGCAGCCGGAAGAUGAGGCGACAUAUUAUUGUGGUGGAGGUGAUGGCACCGAAUAA